AUUGAACGCUGGCGGCAGGCUUAACACAUGCAAGUCGCGCGAGCGGCGGACGGGUGAGUAAUGUCUGGGAAACUGCCUGAUGGAGGGGGAUAACUACUGGAAACGGUAGCUAAUACUGCAUACCAUCAGAUGUGCCCAGAUGGGAUUAGCUAGUAGGGGGGGUAAUGGCUCACCUAGGCGAAGAUCCCUAGCUGGUCUGAGAGGAUGACCCGCCACCUGGAAACUGAGACACGGUCCAGACUCCUACGGGAGGCAGCAGUGGUGAAUAUUGCACUAUGUGCUCAAGCCUGAUGCAGCCUUGCCGCGUGUAUGAAGAAGGCCUGCGGUUUGUAAAGUACUUUCAGCGGGGAUGCGUUGCCCGCAGAAGAAGCACCGGCUAACUCCGUGCCAGCAGCCGCGGUAAUUC
rnacentral:rRNA from 1 species